rnacentral:rRNA from 1 species
UACGUAGGGGUCGAGCGUUGUCCGGAGUUACUGGGCGUAAAGCGCGCGCAGGCGGCGCGAUAAGACCGGCGUGAAAGCCCCCGGCUCAACUGGGGAGGGUCACGCGAUACUGCUCGACUCGAAGGCAGGAGAGGGAAGUGGAAUUCCCGGUGUAGUGGUGAAAUGCGUAGAUAUCGGGAGGAACACCAGUGGCGAAGGCGACUUCCUGGCCUGUUCUUGACGCUGAGGCGCGAAAGCUAGGGUAGCAAACGGG